rnacentral:rRNA from 1 species
AGUGAACGCUGGCGGUAUGCCUAACACAUGCAAGUCGAACGGCAGCACAGUAAGAGCUUGCUCUUACGGGUGGCGAGUGGCGGACGGGUGAGGAAUACAUCGGAAUCUACUUUUUCGUGGGGGAUAACGUAGGGAAACUUACGCUAAUACCGCAUACGACCUACGGGUGAAAGCAGUGGAUCUUCGGACCUUUCGCGAUUGAAUGAGCCGAUGCCGGAUUAGCUAGUUGGCGGGGUAAAGGCCCACCAAGGCGACGAUCCGUAGCUGGUCUGAGAGGAUGAUCAGCCACACUGGAACUGAGACACGGUCCAGACUCCUACGGGAGGCAGCAGUGGGGAAUAUUGGACAAUGGGCGCAAGCCUGAUCCAGCCAUACCGCGUGGGUGAAGAAGGCCUUCGGGUUGUAAAGCCCUUUUGUUGGGAAAGAAAAGCAGCAGGUUAAUACCCCGCUGUUCUGACGGUACCCAAAGAAUAAGCACCGGCUAACUUCGUG